CGCCGCCUGAGUCCGAUACAUCCCCCGGGCGAGGAAUCCACGACGCGCCCCCGUUACGUCAGCCCCAUCGCUUCGUACACGUGGAAUUUUACAAUUUCUUCCUUUAACUUUUACCGACGAAGUUCACGAAAGCCUGCAUGGAAUAUUAAUAAAAGUGGAGGGGAUCGUCGUAUUUAUACCACAUACUUUACUCAAAGCUAUCAUUACCAAGUUUGAACUCGAUCCGAAAACUCAUAACAAGCCAUGGAUCUUCAUCUCCAUUUGUCAUUCGCUUUCCGUGACCUGGACCACAAGUGGGGAACUCCUGUCGAUCUGGACACGAAUGAAGAAUCAUCGCGAUGCCUUCCAGCCGUGAUAGAUACACCUACCACGACUUUCUCAUCCGAGGAGUUUUUAAAAUCGGUUAAAAGACGUCAUAUAAAGGCUGAAAGUUUUUCAGUAUCGAAGAUUGCUUCAACUGACGAUUCAGAUUCAAGAAGCUUAAAUUCUAUGAGCACCGACAUUAUUUCUGAUUGCAACGCCACGAAUGAUAGUGAGGGUAAUUCCAACAACUCUUCUAUCGAAGAGGCAGAUUCCCUAACUCUAGAUUCCUUACCGGAGAAACGAAAAUGGAGGUUAAAGAGGGCUUAUAAGCAGUUGAAAAAGAACACUUCUUCACUUGUGAAAAGGAAG